rnacentral:rRNA from 1 species
GACGUAGGAGACGAGCGUUGUCCGGAUUUACUGGGCGUAAGGCGCGCGCAGGCGGCCCCGCAGGUCGGUUGUGAAAGCCCCCGGCUCAACCGGGCGGAGGCGAGCGAAACCGCGGGGCUGGAGGCUGGCAGAGGGUGGUGGAAUUCCCGGUGUAGUGGUGAAAUGCGUAGAUAUCGGGAGGAACACCUGUGGCGAAAGCGGCUCACUGGACCACAACUGACGCUGAGGCGCGAAAGCUAGGGGAGCAAACAGG